rnacentral:misc_RNA from 1 species
CACGCAAGUCUACUUAUGUCAUCCUUUUUAACCGACCAUGUUUCACUGCCAUACAGCCCAACACUUCUCACGUCAGCCACACAUUCUUCCUUUCCUCGGAGAGAAGGUUUUCUUGCAGUCAAUAAAGGCAGCAGCUCCCUAAACUUCCUACAGCCAGUCUUGCAACUGAGCAGGCUUCAGCACCCCCACCCAGGAGGACCACUUACCAUUGAUCUGCGUCAAAUAUCGCCUAUUGCCAAUAUUGUGCAAGCAGUUGGCAUCCCUAUAUCACAGUUAUACUUGCAGGCAAUCUCCCAAAUUCCAACCCCUGUAUCAAGCCGGCCACCUGUCCGUACUAUCACCACAGACUCCUCCAACAAAAAUACACAGGGCCCUUCCAACAAUCAUGGUAUGAAACCUCCAAGCUAUUCCAAACGAUUAGAAUCAUCAGGUCCGGCGGUGACUGUGUUUGUUGGCAACAUUACCGAGAAGGCGCCUGAUGUGAUGGUUCGACAUAUUCUCAACACUUGUGGCAAUGUGCACAGUUGGAAGAGAGUUCAGGGAGCUUCUGGCAAAUUGCAAGCAUUUGGGUUUUGUGAGUUUGGGAACCCAGAUGCAGCCCUGCGAGCCAUUAGACUGCUUCAUGACUAUGAGAUUGCUGAAAAGAAAUUGGUUGUCAAAGCUGAUGCAAAAACCAAAGAAGUUUUAGAUGAUUAUAAAGAGAAGCGAAAGAAAUCCAAACAAAAUGGUGAUUCUUCACCUUUACAAGAUGAGUUAGAUGAAGGUGAUGAUUACAUGGAUGAGGAUAUGCGAUUAGAAGAUGCAGCAGCAGUGAGGCGUAUUAACGAAAUCCUCUCCGAUCACAAGAAAGACAUCAUGAACUACGUCCCACCUCCUAACAAACAUGACAUGAGAGAAAAACGCAUGUCUAAAGUUCAAGAAAAACUAGUUGCACUAUCAAGUGGGGCUGAUAUUGCCAACAUCCCUACCACAACAAUGUCCAUUUUGCAGAAUCUGGAUGACAUGGAAGAUGUGGAAGAGGGUAAAAAAGAGCUGAUUACACGAGAGAUUACGCAGUUCCGGGAACAGAUGAAGAAACAGGAAGAAGAGAAGGAGAGGGAGAGAAGGCUAAGAGAGAAGGACAGAGAGCGGGACCGAGACCGAGAUAGAGAGCGAGAACGGGAGAGAGAGCGGGAAAGAGACAGGGAGAGGGAACGAGAGAGGGAGAGGGAACGUGAACGAGAGAGAGAAAGGGAAAGAGAACGUGAACGGGAGAGAGAAAGAAGAGAGAGAGAGGAGAAGCUAAGGCGGCGAUCACGCUCUGGGUCUCGUGGUGGCAGCAUAAGAAGAUCCCGAUCCCAAUCGGUUGAUAAUCGUAGAUUAAAGAAAGAGAAGAGAUAUUCCAGAUCUAGAUCACCUUCACCCAUACGUAAAAGUGAGAGAGAUGUGUUACGAGAGAAAGAGGAAGAAGCUGAAGACAAAGAACGGAAGGAACAAGAGAGAAAAGUUCGAAAAAAGGAAUUGCAAUAUCAGAGUGGAAUGCUGUGGAAACUCGACCAUUGCCUGUACUUUGGACAUUCCCAUGGACUGUUACAAGCAACACGCAUCAACUCCAGUUGGAUGGAGAGGUUAAAAAACUGGGAGACCCGCGAGCACAAGAAACAGAAAGAAUUGGACCGAGAGAAGGAGAAAGACAGGCAGAAGGAACAGGAGAGAGAGAAGGAAGCCAAAAGAUUGAAGGAGUUCUUAGAAGACUACGAUGAUGAGAGAGAUGAUCCAAAGUACUACAAGGGACAUGCAUUCCAAAGAAGAUUAGUGGAGCGAGAACAGGAGAAGGAGAUGGAUACACGAGAUCGAGUUAAGGAGAAGGAGGAACUAGAGGAACUGAGAACAAAGAUACUAGCUGAAGGGCAUGAUAACCCUGAUGCUGCCUUCGAGAAGGCUUGUGCAGAGAGAGAGGAGCAGUACAAGCCCAAGCUGUUGGUUAAGCCUGCAGAACGUAAGAUUCCACCUCCUGCUCCUGUACCGGCAGAGCCUCCGCCUGAACUUCCACAGAUCCCUGAGCAGCCGCCACUUCCUCUGACUGUAGCAGAAUCAGACUCUGACUCAGAUGGCCAUAUGUCUGAUGCUCCUCCAGAACCUAUGCCAGAUAUAGAGGAGGAAAACUCUCAGUCCAGAGAUGCAUUCAUGUCAUCUGUGGAUACUACACCUCAACCACCAAAGAGAAAAAAAUAUGACGUAAAAGAUGUUUUUAAUCAAGAUGAUGAUGACCUACCAUCAAAAAAGAAGAAACUUCCUUUGCCAGAACGGACUCUGAGUGCGAAGGAAGAUCCUUUGCAAAAAUUGCUUAGAAAUUCAAUAGAACCAGGGAAAGAUAAGGGCAACAAAGAGAAGGGCGGUGGAGAAGAGAAACGUAAACAUAUCAAGAGCAUGAUCGACAAGAUCCCUACUAGUAAAGAGGAACUUUUUGCAUACCCAAUCGACUCGUCCCUUGUUGACAAUGUUCUUAUGGAGAAGAGAAUCCGGCCAUGGAUAAACAAGAAGAUCAUUGAAUAUAUUGGAGAACCAGAGCCUACUUUGGUAGAUUUCAUUUGCUCAAAGGUUCUUGUUGGGUCGGAACCACAGUCUCUACUAAAUGAUGUACAGAUGGUUCUUGAUGAUGAAGCAGAAGUUUUUGUUGUCAAGAUGUGGCGGUUAUUAAUCUAUGAGAUAGAAGCAAAGAAAUUGGGAGCUGGGAAGACCUAAUGUGACAUUGCUGGCCAAUGUUAACAAGGAAGUGCCAGCAUCACAAUUAUUCUUGGCUGAAAGAUUAAAGUGAUGCAGUUUGCCUCAUCGGCCUGCUUACGGGUGAGAAUUGGAGCAGAUGGUCAGCCGGCGAAAGGGUUAAAUUAAAGCAAUAUCAAAGAAAAUAUCUGAGACUUAAGGUUCAAACUUCAUUUUAUACCAUAUAACUUCAAGGCAAGUUGAAUAUUGGUGGAAGGGUUGAGAGAAUUUGUUUUUCAACUUUUGUAAACCAGAAUUGUCUUAUGUUUUUAUUCAAAGUAUACAAUAAAAUACUUUUGAGCAUUGUGGUAGUUUUGGGUUUUUAGGUUUGACACUGAAUAUUGACAUUAAUGUAAUGUGAAAUUGUCUACUACAACUUUAGCAAUUAAUAAAAUUGCCUAUACAACCAAUUUAACUUGGACUUAUGCAGUGUAACUUUCUUUCAAAAACCUUAAAUAAUUUCCUUACACUAAACUUCAGUGUAGUAUAUCAGUUAGGAACCUAAUAUUUUGUGUAAAUGUAGCCUAAUGUUACAGAAAGACGUGAUAUGAUCAUGAGAAUUAUCAGGUAUCACAUGAUUUAUCACAUGACCCGUUAGUGGCGUUUACUGGUUUUCAUUGUCAUGCCCUGGCACUCACUGUGUUUGUGUGACUGAGUGAAAACCGCUAAAGGCUACUGAUGGAUAACACAAAGCACAACCCACAAACACAAUCCACAAACAAUAAGCGCCACGGCGUGACUUAAGGAAAACUGUUAAACAUCACUGACAGGUCAUGUGAUGCCCAAUAACUCUCGGUGUCAUUCCAUGUCUUUCUGUAACAUUAGGCUACAUUUACACAACAUAUAAGGUUCCUAACUGAUAUUGUUUUUAGUGUAUGGAAAUUAUUUAGGGUUCUCAAAUGAAAAAACAAAAACACUGUAUAUCUAUGAUAUUUAUAUCUUUUAGCCAUUCCAUGAUGAAUGGUAAGAAAACAAUAGUGUAUGGGGCUGAAGAAUAGAUAUUGCUAAGAAUGACAAGAUCAUUGAAUUAUACAGUAUUUUGAAUCUAGAGGAAACUUAAAAUAUCAGUUCAUCUCGUGGAGUAUGUGUAAGUCUCAGUUGAAAAAUAUCUUGUAAAGAGAAGGACAGAGCCCUUCAGUUGGAAGUGAUCUUGUUACAUAUUGACACCUGCACGUAUACUAAUAUGUAACAAAGUGUUGUCCACAGUUUUGUGGAAGUUGAGGUAAGCCACAACAAUCAGAGAGCGUGUGUGAAUAGUACCUGCUUUCCACUCAUCAUUUUAUUUAUUCAUACUUUGUUUUUAUUAUUAUUAUUAUUAUUAUUAUCUUUUUCUCCUUAGGUUAGUGAGGAUUUUGUAAUUUAAUAUUUUUGAAUGCCAUCACUUAUAAUAAGAGAGCCAUUCAUUUAUAUGUUUAAAAUUGGCAACAUCAGGUUAAUUACUUAAAUGUGCUGCAGUAAAUUGGAAUAUAUUAUGGAAAUAUACCCAGUUAAUUGGCUUAUACAUAAUGGUCUUUAAUUACACAUGAUGCCAAUUUUGUAAACGGAUCACCCAUGGUGCAAACUUGUGAAAAUCCAGGUCUGUAUGUUUAGUGUAUGGUGUGUGGACCCACCCUGUGAUUGUAAAUAAAUAAAGAUUUACAAUUUUU